GACCCGCUAGCUCAGUUGGUAGAGCAUCUGACUUUUAAUCAGAGGGUCAGAGGUUCGAAUCCUCUGCGGGUCACCA
rnacentral:tRNA from 2 species